GGAAAUCAUUGAUACGAGAGGAAGUCACAGCAGGCAAAAGAAGUGGGGACAUAGCAAAAAAAAUUGCAAACACAAUCCCAAAAUGCUGAGAGUGAAAAUUUAUGGACUAAAUACUCGUUAGCAAGAAGAAAGCAAGCAGGUACAAGCCAGCAAACAGCAUUUCCACAAGGAUGCACCAACCGGCAGAUCACUGCCAGAAAGCAAUUGAAGCCUUUCUAUUAGACUUACGUAGCAAGGGUUCAGUAGUGGGGUUCUGACCGCAGCCUCAUUCCCUUGUGCUGCUCUGUGGGAGGAGGUAGAAGAGGGCAGAUUUCGGGAAG
rnacentral:lncRNA from 1 species